ensembl:misc_RNA Y_RNA Y RNA
GGUUGGUCCGAGUGCAGUGGUGUUUAUAACUAAUUGAUCACAACCAGUUACAGAUUCCUUUGUUCCUUCUCCACUCCCACUGGUUCACUUAAACAGCCUUUA